ACUUUACCCUAGAGCUAGCUUCGUAGCAGUAUCUCCUUCUCCUGGGGUUUCAUUAUCUGAGGUCUUCCCUCGAUUGGUCACAUACGGGGUUGGUACUGCCGGCUGGCGAGCGUCGUCCCCUUCUACCUGCGCUCCUGAGAUCUACUAUCACUUCACUUUCUUAUGAAUUUUUUAGCCUCUUUAUGAUGCUAUUUUUGAGCCUCUUUAUGAUGCUUGACUUCAAGUAGUUAGGUGUUUUUUGUGUGUAGCGUGCACGCUCGUGGGGUAUGAAGGGAUCGAUCUGGUUUUAUUCUUGAUAAUGUUUUUUGAAUGAUCGAGCAUACACUUUUUCUUUUGUCCGUUGCACGUAGGAUUGCGUUUGGGUGGACCAGAUUUGCCUAUUAAUUAGGUUUACUAGAUCUGAAAUUGCUCUAGCUUCUAGAUCGAUGGCUCUAAUUUUUCGAUUAAACUGCCCAGCAGGGAACACGAUGGGCAAGAAAAAGAAAAAUUUAGAAAUGGAUCUGGUGUACAUGAGAUGUUUGGCAGCAGGAGAAAAGCGCAAGUGUAAACCUAUAGUGCACCAUAUAGAUUGGAAUUAUCAUCCGCAGAAAUGCGACGGAGCCAAGAAUGUCCUUGCUUGUGCAACCUCCCAAGGAACCAGGAUCUGGCGUAUCAACACAAAUGCCUUUAAGUGCACUUUGCUGUACAACAGGGCAACUCCAGAGGGACGGCAAUCCCUCGUGUGCAAAUGAAACCCCCACGACGGAGCAGUAAUUGCAACGGGAGGAGACCCUCUCGCAGCCAGUGAAGGCAGAAAACGCCACCAUUACCAGGACCGGCGGCAUCAUCCGGCUGCUGAGAUACAAGAGAGGAGACAAUGAUGGCCACUUCGAAGACAUCAAAAGCUUCAUGCUUUGUUUGGAUGUAGGUAUUCAGGUGUGGAAUUGAAUUGGGUUAGGAAUGCCAAAUCUGUGUGGUAUUGGAAUUGGCCUCCAAUGCCAAAGCAACUGUUUGGAUGUGCAUGGUAUUAGCUAUUGGAAUCAGAAGGUAGCAACCAAUUCCAAAUCAUGUUUGGAUGUACAAUGUGUGGAAUUGGCUACUUUGUUGAGUUUGGAGAAUAUACAAUUGUUUAUAUAUAGAGAAAAAA